AACGAACGCUGGCGGCAUGCCAACACAUGCAAGUCGAACGAGACCUUCGGGUCUAGUGGCGCACGGGUGCGUAACGCGUGGGAACCUGCCCUUAGGUUCGGAAUAACUCCCCGAAAGGGGUGCUAAUACCGGAUAAUGUCUUCGGACCAAAGAUUUAUCGCCUUUGGAUGGGCCCGCGUUGGAUUAGCUAGUUGGUAGGGUAAAAGCCUACCAAGGCGACGAUCCAUAGCUGGUCUGAGAGGAUGAUCAGCCACACUGGGACUGAGACACGGCCCAGACUCCUACGGGAGGCAGCAGUGGGGAAUAUUGGACAAUGGGCGAAAGCCUGAUUCAGCAAUGCCGCGUGAGUGAUGAAGGCCUUAGGGUUGUAAAGCUCUUUUACCCGGGAUGAUAAUGACAGUACCGGGAGAAUAAGCUCCGGCUAACUCCGUG
rnacentral:rRNA from 1 species